CCUACGGGAGGCAGCAGUGAGGAAUAUUGGUCAAUGGCCGGAAGGCUGAACCAGCCAUGCCGCGUGAAGGUCAGGGCCCUAUGGGCGUUAAACUUCUUUUGUGCGGGAGCAAGAAUGGUCACGGGGGGCCAGACGAGAGUACCGGACGAAGAAGCAGCGGCUAACUCCGUGCCAGCAGCCGCGGUAAUACGGGGGAUGCAAGCGUUAUCCGGAUUUCUUGGGGUUAAAGGGGGCGUAGGCUGUGAGGUAAGUCAGCGGUGAAAUGCCCCCGCUCAACGGGGUGAAGUGCCAUUGAUACUGCCUUGCUGGAAUGCGGCUGCCGUGGGAGGACUGUGUGGUGUAGCGGU
rnacentral:rRNA from 1 species